UACGAAGGGGGCGAGCGUUGUUCGGAUUUACUGGGCGUAAAGGGCGCGCAGGCGGCUUAUCAAGUCAGGCGUGAAAGCCCCGGGCUUAACCUGGGAACUGCGUCUGGGACUGAUGGGCUAGAGUUCGGGAGAGGAGAGUGGAAUUCCCAGUGUAGAGGUGAAAUUCGUAGAUAUUGGGAAGAACACCGGUGGCGAAGGCGGCUCUCUGGACCGAGACUGACGCUGAGGCGCGAAAGCGUGGGGAGCAAACAGGG
rnacentral:rRNA from 1 species